GGGGAAUAUUGGACAAUGGGCGCAAGCCUGAUCCAGCCAUACCGCGUGGGUGAAGAAGGCCUUCGGGUUGUAAAGCCCUUUUGUUGGGAAAGAAAUCUUGCCGGUUAAUACCUGGCGAGGAUGACGGUACCCAAAGAAUAAGCACCGGCUAACUUCGUGCCAGCAGCCGCGGUAAUACGAAGGGUGCAAGCGUUACUCGGAAUUACUGGGCGUAAAGCGUGCGUAGGUGGUGGUUUAAGUCUGCUGUGAAAGCCCUGGGCUCAACCUGGGAAUUGCAGUGGAUACUGGGUCACUAGAGUGUGGUAGAGGGAUGCGGAAUUUCCGGUGUAGCAGUGAAAUGCGUAGAGAUUUGGAGGAACACCAGUGGCGAAGGCGAAUUUCUGGUCUGCAACUGACGCUGAGGCGCGAAAGCAUGGGGAGCAAACA
rnacentral:rRNA from 1 species